UCUUGUCUUCAAGCACAACAUAGCAUCAGUAAUAGUGUCAGAGUCUGUUGCCCUGGAAUGGAUCCCAGGUUGGACUGGUCACUGGAUGACCUUUCCUUCAGUCUCUGCUCCAUUUUUGUUUCUGCAUUUCCAUUAGACAGGAACAAUUCUAGGUCAACAUUUUUGAAGAUGGGUGGGUGGCCAUCUACUGGGGGUCCUGUUUGUCUACUGGAGGUGAUCUCUUCAGGUUCCAUCACUGAGCACUACCCACUAUGGUCUGUACUCUCUCCCAUCAAUUACAAAUUAAGAAAAUGCCCUGCAAGCUUGCCUAUAACAUGCUCUUAUGGAGGCAUAUUCUCAACUGACUUUAGUCUGUCAAGUUGUCAUAAAAUAAGUCAGCACAGUCCUUUUGUCUAUUAUGUCAACCUUUUUUAGUUUAUCUGUUUUAAAGUUGUAUUUAUUAUUUAUUUGCUUGAGGUUAAAGUCAUAUGCAUCUAUGCCAUGGUGUAUUCUGGAGUUCAUUGGACAACUUGAGAGAGUCAUUUGCAUGUGAUUCCAGUGAUCAAGAUGGUCAGACUUCAGGAAAAUGCCUUUACCCAUUCAGCUAUCUUGUUUGCUCAAAUUCUACAUUUUUGAGUAGCACUUUUCUUACACAUCUAUUAGAUGUUUUUUUUCUAUGUAUUCUAAUAGCAAUUUCCAUCUUGGUAGCAAACCAUUUGUUUUAGGUAAGUAGUAUUUCAUUAUUCAAACUUGUAGAUAUUGAGAUUAUCCUGCAUUUUACCGGGAAGGAAACUGUAGCUGAGUCAGUCAGGUGAGAGAUGCCUCAGACUUCCUGAUACCUACCUAGUUCAGGGUUCUUCCCAAUAGGAAGAGCUCUGCUCACCUCAUGUCAGGCCUUGAAGCUUUGAAAUUGAGUUUUCUUUCAUGGGUCCACAUGAAGGUUGUCUGGGCUAGGAUCUUGAGAAGGAGGUUAUCCUUGAGGCUCAUGGUUCUCUGAGGUUAAUGGUAGAUGACAGAUGUGAUGGAUUAGGUAAGUAACACAGACAAAGAUAGUUGUAUAAUCGUGGGGCAAAUAAAAACUGUGACAUGGCCAUUAUGAAAGUACCCUUCAGGUCUUUGGCUGGAGGAGUCAUAGGAGACCGCUGUAGUUGCUACUCUGUAUAAACUCAGUAUUGAAUCUUCUCCCUAAGCAUCUUUUACAGAAUCUGUACCCAGGCAAUAAGUGUUUUAGUUAUAGUUUCUAUUGCCAUGAUAAAUCGCCAUGACUAAAAUCAAUUUGGGGAAGAAAGGAUGGAUUUAUUUAUUUAUUUAUUUACUUAUUUAUUUACUUAUUUAUUUAAUUCACUUUACAUCCGGAUCGCUGCCCCAUUCCUUCCGAUUCCCCCCCUCAAAUAGUCCCUCCCUCCAUGCCCCCUGUUUUUCCCCUCUGAGAGGGUGGAGCCCCCGCUGGUUAACACCCCUCUCCCCACCCCAGCACAUUAAGUUUCUGCAGGGCUAAGAGCAUCCACUGAGGUCAGAGAAGGCAGCUUGGUUAGGGGAACAGGAUCCACAGAGAGACAACAGCUUUAGGGACAGCCCCCAGCCCAGAUGUUGUGGGUCCCACAUGAAGACUGAGCUGCACAUGUUAUAUAUGUGCAGGGGCUAGGUUCAGUCUAGGCCCUUUCUUCUACACCCAAGAAGAAAGGUUUAUUUAAUUUUACAGCUUGUAGACCAUCAUCCAGGGAAGUGAAGGCAGAAAUCCAAGGCAAAGACAAUAGAGGAGUGUUGCUUACUGGCUUGCUUUCCAGGGCAUGCUGGGCCUGCUUGCUAUCACACUCCAGGUCCAUGUACCAAGGGCUGACACUGCCAACAAUGAACUGGACCCUCCAACAUCAAGAGCUAAUUAAGAAAUGUCCCAGGAACUUGCAGUUAGGCUAAUUUUGUGGAAGCAUUUUCUUAUUUGUGAUUCCCUCUUCUCAGCUAUCUCUAGCUGUGUCAUUUUGACAAAAACUAACUAGAACAAGAGUUCAUCAGUGUCACUAAGAUAGGCUUAUUUCUGGAAGCUGCAUGACUCCACUCACUGGCAACUCACUUGCUCGUUCCAGAGUGGAGGUGUGGGUGGUGAGGCUCUGACGGGAUCCUAUAAACAUUUUGAAGGUAAGGCUGAGAGACUUAUCCACUGAAGGUAAGGGAAGAGAAGAAAGCUAGAAGUUGAGUCUACUUGCCACAGUGUUUGACUUCAGCAGUCUGAAAGACAGAUGUGAGAUUAGCUAAGAUAGAGGCUUGAGAUGGAGCAUAUAUUUCCAGGGUUCACGGGAAAGGAAGCAGGGGUUUAGUCAUCUUGGAACACUAACUGUGAGGUCUGUCCAUCAAGGAACCUAACAUGUCACAUAGGUAACUUGAUGUCUGAGUGGGGUUUUCUGGAAAGUGAUCUAUUUCAACUUAUGAUCUCACACAUAAAUGUGUGAAAUCCCUGAUGAGUGAGGGAAGACACUGGAAAGAAGAGGCCAGAGGCCUGAAUGCUGGAAGCAGAGAGGAAUAAGAGCUAAUAGAAUAAGAAUUACAAACAAUGUAUAAGAAGAGCUAUUAAACAUAUCUCUGUCUAACUUGAAAUGAAUGAGACUCAAAUUAUGGUAUUUAUUUAGUAAGUUCUGUGUAACUUAGCUGUCGUCUGGGGGACUACACCUUAUAUAAAACUCUAAAUGCCAGUCUACCUAUUGGCUCACCUGGGUUCCCCACAACACUUGUAGUUUGAAACUUUCUGGGUUACUUUUGGUCUAGCAGUCUGGUGUCUUGGGAAGGCAUAUAACUCCGGUACUUUCUGCUGGUUCUUCAUGGCUCAAAGAGGCCUCCUAUUCUCCCAUCUUCUCCUCUUCCAAGCUCCUCCCUCUCUCCUCCCUCCUCUCCUGCCGGUGCCUACUUGUGACUCCCAACCUGGUAACUCAAUGUCCACCUCUUUCUAUUCCCCCAGUAAUCGGCUGUCACGAGUUUUAUUUACCCAGCAGUUUUAGACUGGGGAGUAAGGUUUACAUAGCUUCAGUUGGACCUGUGUUCAUCAGAGGCAACCAGACCUUGAAAGCCAGUAUUUGGCAUUUAAAUACAAGCAGCACCAGAUUAACUCCCUACAAGACAAGAAGAAAACUAUGUCUAGAGUCUUGAAUAAUCCCUAAGAAAGACCUAAAAAUUGGAAAACCCAGUACGUCAAACCCAAGAAUGAAUGAUCAGGACAGGACAGUUGGUGUUCUUCACAGGGACCUUUGACUUGAAUGUAGAAUUGUGAGACGAUCGUAAAGCUUUGAAAUUAUCCGCAGAGUAAAAUUGGUGAGUGUUAGACUUUGAGGGUUAGAAAAUGCAACUCAAACAAGCUUCAAAAAUAUUGGAAACAUUUUAGCUUACACAUCUGCAUUGUUCUAUGAUAAGGCAAGCUUUCGUGGAGACACAGUAGUUUCUGUUUGUAUAUUUGCUUUUCUACAAUUUGGACUUGAUUCUGCUGAGGUGAAGAAGAUACCUUAGAGAGUGGAGGAGAUGAAUCUCAACAACAACAGCAGGUGGGUUCGCUUAGUCUGAAUCAGUGACGGUAGAAUCAGAAGAAGAAGGAGGGGAGGAGGCAGCUAGGAAAUCCCAUCAAGAUCUGUAAGAUUUCCGAACUUCUUGUUAAUUGGGUCUUGUGAUCAACAGUGAUGAGUUUGGAUAAAUGGCACCUUAUGAGGAGGAUGAAUUAUUUGAAAAACUAGACGAUGCGUUACUAGAAACUAAACUGAUGUUUCUAGUGUUUUUCUGUUUUCUUCCAUACAAAUAAGGCAAUCCUGAAACUUGUGGACCUGGAAAUUGCCAGGUGGGUCCCCUAGACUUCCUUAAUGAAAGUGUUUGGAGGUGGGGCUUAGGAUAUGUAAUCCAGCCAUUUCUGCAAAUCUUUCUAUCUCAGCAGGUGAGAAGCAUUGGGAAUGGAUCCUGAAGGACUAUGAAAGCAAUACAAAAGCGUAAGAUGGGCUGUGAUUUUAGAAGUUUGGGCUCCACCAAAUGUGGCUGAAGAGAAAGAGAAAGAGUGCUCCUGGUGCUACACAACAUACUGUUCUCUAGGCUUAUCCGUGAGCACAAGGACCUUUGUGGCUCCUACAAACGUUCAGUCAGUAAAGGAAGACACAUUCCCUGGACUGAGAAAGAUUUGAUUCUUCAUAUUAUAAAGCGAAACAUAUGCUGAAUGCAGUGAAUGAAAAGAGGAGCCUAUCGACACAGUAUGAUCUGGUUUGCUGGUUAAAGACAAGAAAUGAAGAUCUGCUUUGUCCUUGAUGUUACCUGCCAGGUAGCUACCAAAUCCUGCUGGAUAUCAUGAUUUCCCUCAGACCUCUGGUGAAGCCCAAGAUCCUGAAAACAAGGGCCAAGUUCCAGCCCCAGAAUCACAUGUCAAAAUUAAGUGCAACUGGUGAAAAUGCACAGGUAUUGACCACAGAGAUCAGAGAACCAGAACCUGAUGUCCGACAUUGGUCAUGGGGUCAAGAAGCAAGCAAAGCCCGUGCUGCCAGUGUCUUACUGAAGGUCUUUGCCCACACACUCAAGGAGCUGAAGUGUUGCCUCUGACCAACAAAUCAGACUGCCUGCAUCACUCAGGCUCCCAUCAAGAACCACUAAACUUUGUGGAAAGAGCAGCACAGGCGGCCAUCAGAGUCACCAGUUCCAAAUGCAUGAAGAAAAUGGCAUAGGUGUAUGUUUCAUUUGUGCUUAAAUAAGACUUCAAAGACUGCAGAAGAAAGAGAAAACCAGAAACUACACUCUACAUUUUGAUAAAGCUUUAAUGUCUCUUCUGUUAGUCUCUCUUUCUGGCCUCAUUUUCAUAUUUUUUUUUUGGAUGUUGACAUUAGCAUUUUUGUUUUUUGUUGUCAUCACAUGCAUGAGUUCUGUAAGACUUUACAUCUCUGUAGGAAGACAUUUGUCACCCUGGGGGUACUCUCCUCUUACAGUGCUGUUACGUCCCACAACACACAAAAACAUUGCUAGAUCCAGGUCACUUAUGCCUCCUCAUGUUUUCACACAGAGAAGGAUUGGUUUCUUUAUUCCCACAGAGUAAGGAAUUCAGUGUUAACUAAAUUUACUUCUAACUCAACCUCAAGUUGGAAACUUCCCUUGCUAACUACUGGUGGCCCUUCACGUACUAUUGAAUUAAGACCACGAAGGAAAACAAAAUGAGAAUUAGAAGAUACAAAAGGACUUUCACAUAAAUAUGGCGGCAGUACUAAAACACCCACAUGAUGUACAUGGGGCCCCAGGACUUAGCAAUUAAAGAGCCUCUAACAUUCGCUCUCAGUGAGUCUCAAAUCUGCCCAUGUGGAUGCACCAAGAGGGACCUAAAGAAGUUGUUUAUACAAAGGAUGGGCUGUUUGUGAAAAGCGAGGGACCUCAAACAGGGGAGGCCAGGCUUUGGGAAGGAAGUCAGAAGAUAAGUGCAGCAAUAAAUAUAUGGUUGCUAAGUACGGUUUCGGCAAUUUAUUUUGUUAUAGGAUUAAAGGACGAUCGAACAGACCAGAUACAUCAGGGCUCAGCACCCUUGAAUAGGAAACAUGUAUUUGAGCUGUGUGCUUAGGACCAGCCCUUCUCAGCUGGAGCCAGAGGCAAGGAAAGGGUGCCAACUUUUAGAAAGGCCCCACAGAGCAUCACGGCCCUGUUCUACACUCUCCUGCCAUGUCCAAGGUACACUAUGUGGUUCUGUUGUAAGGAGGACUCGUUACUCAAGCAGAGACUAAGUGGCUUUUGGCAAGAACAAAUAAUCCGAAGCUACUGCUGCAGGCAAUUAGGGGCCUCAGGAAGCCUGUGAGUGGAAGAAUUUAUUCCAAAUAGUUACAUAACAGACAAUGAGCCUCACACAGUGUUCCAAAUCCUGCUUAAGUCUUCCUUUGACACCACCGAAGGAGGAGCGGACAGAUGGAGGCAAUAGAGUCCUUGUUUGCCUGUUUCAUUCACGGCUAUGGCACAUGAUGGAGUUAUAAACAACAGAUGAAAGACUUAAACAUCUCAGAAAGUUCACAGAGGAAAUGUGCUAUUGUGGUAUACAGAUACUCGUGAUACACGUAGGACCGAUCUUACUACUCAGCACCGAUCUUACCCCUUAGCACACAGAUGAUCUUUUCCUGCAAUCUGGAAAGAGAGACUGCUCUGAGCAAAAAUGUCAGGAAAUAAACCGGAUCUGGGGUGGAGGCUGCAUGGCCAAUCUAGAAAUCCCUUUAAGAAACAAACCCAAGAAGUGUUUGUCUCCAUCUGUUCUGAGUGCUACACCUGAAGUUGGGAUCUGAGCCUGAAGCCUGACAACAUUUACAUGCUGAUUAAUCCUAUAAAACUUGGUAGAGUCAUUCCACUACAACACCUGGAAUAAUUGCAUAGUUGCUGGCAAAAGGGAGCAGAAGGUACUGUUAAAACUGCCAAUCACCAUGUAGUUAAUGGUUCCCCAGACACUGCACUAAAUAGUAGAGCCCUGACCUUUUUCUGUAUUCACGACCCAUUUUCUUUGUGUUCUUCUUCCUCUGAUUUGAUUGUUUGUUGCUACAUUUAACAACAACAAAAAGAAGCAAGCCACCCACACCAAAAUCCUCCCUUCAUCCAUUAAAAUUAAGCAUUGAUAAUAACAGAGGCUGAGGGAAGAUUGAAGCAGCUGAAAUCCUGAAGUGCAGAGGAAAACUCAGAGCUAGGCUCUCUCAGCAGCAGAGGUGGCUGCUGGCUCCCCUCUUUGGGCCAGGCCCUACCCAUGAUGUACCCCAACCUAGGAAUAGUUCUUCUGCUACAUGAUGUUAAAUUGUUGUUCUAAAGGUCCUUUGGUUUUUUUUUAAAAAAAUGAUUUCAUUAUUAGUGCCUCAUAUUGAUUCUGAAAGGCAAGGGGAUACAAAUCAUUGUCUUAUUUUCUCAUUUUUAUUAAUGAGAAAACCAAGACACAAAAGAAAAUACUUAAGUUUUCAUAGUCACUCUUCUAGCUGAAACUACCAUUUAUGAAAGGAUGAACCAAUGGGGCCAUGACUCCAGGGUGCACUGACACAGGGAGGGCUCUGGGAGAUGCUUCUUUUCAUGUUUCAUGCUGCAUGGGUGUGAUGGCCAACCUUGGUUGUCACUCUGACAUGUUCAGGAAGAGGGAGCCUCUACUGAGGAAGUGGCUCCAUCCAAUUAUCUGUGGGCAUGAAAGGGGCUAAAUAAUUCACUGUAGUUUAUUCUGGUUGAAUGAACUUUUCUAUCUUGUUCUGAUUCAAUAAUUUGUAGUUAUUCUAAAUAAGCAAGUUCGACUUGUCUUCUUAAUCACAGAGAAACAAACGAGGCCCUGGUGUAGAGAAGAGCUGCAGUGUGAUCUGCUUGAACUUCCGUAGCUAUCUAAGCUUUGCAGCCUUCUGUCGGAUCCUGUGUAAAACACAAACGGCACAUGUACCUGUUUGUACUUCACACACAUUAGCAUAUCAUUGUAUAAUUCACUCAGUCGACACAUUUUCUAGAUCUGUAAAUUAUGUUUUAUGUAAUAUGUUAUACAUUGAAUGCUAAUAAUUUAACACUUUUGCAAAAAUUAUUUGUACUUUAAAAAUAAAGAUUAUUUGGAAAAGUUAGCAAAUAGAUGACAGGAUCCCUUAUACUGGUGAGGUAGCCUUGAAAUUACUGUGUUAUAGGAUUAAAAGUAAA
rnacentral:sRNA from 1 species